rnacentral:lncRNA from 1 species
AGACGUGUCCGGGUCGUUUGCUCUUAAAGGGGCCGGCGCUCUACCUGGCGAAGCCACCCAGCCCUGGUAGUGGAGAGGCUUGGGACUAGAGGAUGAGAUUCGGCCUCAUACUCCGCGCUGUCGUCCUCGCUGGAGCCUGCUGUCUGCGCCCUGCAGAAGUCCUGACGGCGGCGUACCCCGGGAGACCCCGGCAGCCCCGAGAAGCCAGCCGCCGCCGUCAUUCCAGUCAGAAAAAUGGCCUGCGGGGCACGCGCCGGUGCGCCCUGCCAACCACGUCCGGACUUUGGACUUUAGACAGGAAGGCGUCCCGGCUCAGCUGUGGUUUGGUCAGAGUUUAACCUGUCCCACGCAAGAGAACCUCGAUCUGGUUUCCUCGCUUACCUGAGUCACCUGGGCACUUGUUAGGCCCAGCUGUCUUCAGUUCCAUUAGCGGCCAGUUACCCAAAUGCUAAAUCAAAUCCCCGUGGACCUUGGCCUGGCGCGGUGCGUGCUGUUUUCCUCCGAGAAGAGGAGCUAAAAGUAGCACCUUGCCUUCUAAAUUUAGGACUCUAUUUUUAGGACCGUCGAAUAAAGUGCCAAGUGCUGGAUUUGUUCGUAGGAGACGGUUUUAGCUGACGUAGGUGUAAAGGAUAACCCAUCUCAUAUAUAUGUCUUCCUUGCCAGCAUGAUCAUUCUCAUUAUAUUCUGCCUUCUCACUCAAGUACUUUGGUGAAGCAACUCAAAAAGGAGCAGAUACUUCCUCCUAAACAAAUCACCCAAAAGAACUCAAUAGAUGAACAAAAUCUUAAAUCCUUAGGAAAUUUUCCUGAUGUAACCUCUUGUAGCAACGAACUGUUAUGCCAUUUAAAAAAUCAAAAACUGGCCCAAGUUCACAGCAAGUGAUUUUUCAGGACCAAAAUGCGGCCUAGCUUUUCAGAACUCAAGAUUGCUAUUUCUCCUUUGCCACAUCAGCCUGAGGAGUUUCAGGAAAUGCUAAUAUCAGAGUAGCCAAAAUUGCUUAGUAAUUCUCCAUUGUUAAGGUAUAAGGUAUUACACAACUUUCAUACGUGUUAGACACUGUGUAUUAAAAUUAUGUGAAUAGUUCAUUAAAGUCAAAACAAGCAUAAUCAAACUUUUAUCUUUAGAAUUUCACAGACUCCUAGAACAACGUGUAUGCCUCAAUUAGAACAUUGUAUUACUCAAUAAAAAUUCUUAAAUGUGUCUGA